CACACCAGAGCUGUUCAGCAGCAGCCCACACAGAUCCUCUGGCUGGCUGUGCUGGUCCUACUGCUUCAGCGUGCACCCACGACAGCUUUGUCCAGAAUCCUCCAAUGCAGUCAUCUUAUGAAGCUGAACUGAUGCCAUCUGACUGGCUAUGUAAUAUAUCUGAAGAAAACAAGAAGGCAGAAGUCGGUCUUGAAGCCAUGUUUCAGGUUGCCGAUGAGGUGCAUUCAUCAUGCAAAGCUGAAAAGUGGAAGUGGCACCUGUAGAGAGCCAGAGUUCAAUCCUGGAGCUUAAUGGAAAUCAGGCACUGCCUGUUAAUAGUUACACACCUUCUUCAACUGAGGAAAGCCAGCUGGAACGUCUCACUCCUGUAACUUCAGACACGUCAUUUCUGGUGGCAGCAGAUCGAACACUGAAUUUGUCUCCAUUACAGCCUUCUGACAUUCUUUGUGCUGCCGAUCCCACUCUGUCUAUAGAAACUGCUGCUGCUGCUAAAAUACUACAAGAACUUCUGACCACACAGGAAGCAGCUGAAGAACGGAGCAAAGAACCAGAUCACCGCCCAGCUGAGUUCUCCCUCAUGAUUUUUCAGGAAGAAUUGUUCAGUCCAGAGCAGGAGAAUACUAGUGUUAAAAGUGAAUCCAGGACAGCGGAGACAGAAGAGAGACAAUUCACUUCAGGAGCUGAGCCUGUGAAUGAAUCUGUAGGACAGACAGAUUCAUCUGUAAAAUCUUUCUCCAGGAAAAGACGCGG